GUGGAUGUAGCUCAGUCGGUUAGAGCGCCGGAUUGUGGUCCCGGAGGUCGUGAGUUCAAGUCUCAUCUUCCACCCCA
rnacentral:tRNA from 1 species